rnacentral:rRNA from 1 species
AUUAGAUUUAUGUCAGAGUGAAUCUUGAUUGUUAAGCUACGUAUCUAAAAGCAUUGCCAAGGAUGUUUCAUAAUCAAGAACGAAAGAUAGGAUCAAAGACAAGUCAGAAACGUCGUAGUCCUUUCUAUAAACCUAGGCCGACUAGGGAUGAAUGAAAUCACCAUUUCAGUACUUAUGGGAAAUCAAAGUCUUUGGGUUCUGGGGGGAGUAUGGUCGCAAGACUGAAGCGUAGAGGGAAGUGGACGGACGGGCACCACCAGGAGUGGAGCCUGCGGCUUAAUAUGAACUCAAACACGGGGAAACUUACCAGGUCCAGACAUAGUAAGGUUGACUGUUUGUUGCUCUUUCUUGAUUCUAUGGGUGGUGGUGCAUGCCCGUCUUAGUUGGUGGAGUGAUUUGUCUGGUUAAUUCCGAUAACGAACGAGACCUUAACCUGCUAACUAGAUUCGAUCAUCUUAUGGUCGUUAUCUAAAUAUAGAGGGACUAUGUAACAUAAAUACAUGGAAGUUUGAGGCAAUAACAGGUCAGUGAUGCCCUUAUAUGUCCUGGGCUGCACGCGUGCUACACUGAUGCAUACAACAAGUGCCUAGCUAGACAUAGUAUGGCAAUCUGGAAUAUGCAUCGUGAUGGGGAUAGAUCUUUGCAAUUAUAGAUCUUGAACGAGGAAUUCCUAGUAAGUGCAAGUCAUCAUCAGAGGGAAGAUUAUGUCCCUGCCCUUUGUACACACCGCCCGUCGCUCCUACCGAUACCGGGGAUCCGGUGACCCUCGACCUAUGAAAAAUAAGUAAACCACACCAGAGGAAGGAGCGGUC